rnacentral:rRNA from 1 species
GAUAAACGCUGGCGGCGUGCCUAACACAUGCAAGUCGAACGCUCUCUUGCCGCAAGGGAAGAGGGAGUGGCGGACGGGUGAGUAACACAUGGGAAUCGACCCAUUCGUGAGGAAUACCACCGGGAAACCGGUGACAAUACCGCAUACGCUCAGUGAUGAGCAAAGCUUCUUCGCAAGAGGAGGCGCGAGUGGACGAGCCUGUGCCUGAUUAGCUAGCUGGUGGGGUAAGAGCCUACCAGGGCAACGAUCAGUCGCUGGUCUGAGAGGAUGAUCAGCC